GAUGAACGCUGGCGGCGUGCCUAAUACAUGCAAGUCGAGCGAACAGACGAGGAGCUUGCUCCUCUGACGUUAGCGGCGGACGGGUGAGUAACACGUGGAUAACCUACCUAUAAGACUGGGAUAACUUCGGGAAAUCGGAGCUAAUACCGGAUAACAUGUUGAACCGCAUGGUUCAACAGUGAAAGACGGUUUUGCUGUCACUUAUAGAUGGAUCCGCGUCGCAUUAGCUAGUUGGUAAGGUAACGGCUUACCAAGGCAACGAUGCGUAGCCGACCUGAGAGGGUGAUCGGCCACACUGGAACUGAGACACGGUCCAGACUCCUACGGGAGGCAGCAGUAGGGAAUCUUCCGCAAUGGGCGAAAGCCUGACGGAGCAACGCCGCGUGAGUGAAGAAGGUCUUCGGAUCGUAAAACUCUGUUAUUAGGGAAGAACAAAUGUGUAAGUAACUAUGCACGUCUUGACGGUACCUAAUCAGAAAGCCACGGCUAACUACGUG
rnacentral:rRNA from 1 species